rnacentral:lncRNA from 1 species
AUGUGGCGGCAGCACACAGCGAGCAGCUUCUCUCUCAGUAUUUGCAUUAAAUCCUGUCUUUUCUCUAAACCAGGAGCAGAAUCGCAUGGUGGAAACAAUGCCAAGGGCACGGGCCCUAAUUGCCCCCAUCUGCUACAUGGUGGAAAGAGGAGGAGGAAGGAAAGAGUGAUAAAAAGUAUGAAUAACACUGCACAGGAAUAGAAUAAGGAGAAAUGGGCCAGAGUGAACUGGAGGGCUACAUGGGCCAAGCGUGCAUUUUUUUGAAGAAGAGUUUUGGGAUUUCCAAUUAAUCCUUCUAAACAGCUGCCCAUUCAUCUACACCACUGAAGAAGAUACCAUAAACUGCCUGGGAGAUUUGGCUCUGGGUCAAACUGUCUGACUUUCAGAUUUUAUAUCCUUUCCAAAUUACUUUUGAUUUAAAAUUGCUUUUCUUGUUUCUUGAAUCCAUUACUGCUUGUCCCUUCCAUAGAAAUAAUGGUUACCAGAAGACUAAUUUCAUAUGUUUCCCAACCCCCAAAUAAAAUCCACUAAUCAAUCACUCAGUAGUUUUUGAGUCUCAGUGACAAAGUGCUUGGCUAGCAUGGGCAAGGCCCUGGGUUCAAUCCCUAGUACCACAAAACAAAAUAGUUUUUGAGUAUCCAUUUUCUCUGCUUUCUGCUAAUCUUUGUGGCUGAUGAAGAAUCAAUAAACGCCAUGCAAAAUAAAGCCAGAACAUAACAGUUACCAAUUAUCUCCUAAUCGGCAAUCAUAGUACAUGAUUUUCAAUUUUUC